UGUGUCUACGGACUGACACAGGUUCUCAAGGAUGAGCGCCAAGGACAUCGCGGGAUGCGAUUCAUCAGGAUGAUGAUAGGGAAUACAGGGACUACGGAAAAAAAUGUGGGCGGGUCAUACCGCCCCUUUUUUU
rfam:Pseudomonas putida strain TASWS0946 Contig183, whole genome shotgun sequence.